rnacentral:rRNA from 1 species
CCUACGGGAGGCAGCAGUGGGGGAUAUUGCACAAUGGGGGGAACCCUGAUGCAGCGACGCCGCGUGGGUGAAGGAGCGUUUCGGCGCGUAAAGCCCUAUCGGCAGGGAAGAAAAUGACGGUACCUGGCCAAGAAGCCCCGGCUAACUACGUGCCAGCAGCCGCGGUAAUACGUAGGGGGCAAGCGUUAUCCGGAUUUACUGGGUGUAAAGGGGGCGCAGACGGCAAUGCAAGCCAGGAGUGAAAGCCCGGGGCCCAACCCCGGGACUGCUCUUGGAACUGCAUGGCUGGAGUACAGGAGGGGCAGGCGGAAUUCCUAGUGUAGCGGUGAAAUGCGUAGAUAUCAGGAGGAACACCGGUGGCGAAGGCGGCCUGCUGGACUGCGACUGACGUUGAGGCCCGAAGGCGUGGGGAGCAAACAGGAUUAGAUACCCCGGUAGUC